UACGAAGGGGGCUAGCGUUGUUCGGAUUUACUGGGCGUAAAGCGCACGUAGGCGGAUCGUUAAGUCGGGGGUGAAAGCCUGUGGCUCAACCACAGAAUUGCCUUCGAUACUGUAGAGCUUGAGACCGGAAGAGGUAAGUGGAACUGCGAGUGUAGAGGUGAAAUUCGUAGAUAUUCGCAAGAACACCAGUGGCGAAGGCGGCUCACUGGCCCGAGUACUGACGCUGAGACGCGAAAGCGUGGGGAGCAACAGG
rnacentral:rRNA from 1 species